GUGUCAGCAGCCGCGGUAAUACAGAGGUCUCAAGCGUUGUUCGGAUUCAUUGGGCGUAAAGGGUGCGUAGGUGGCUAGGUAAGUCAGGUGUGAAAUCUCGGGGCUCAACUCCGAAACUGCACUUGAUACUGCCUGGCUCGAGUACUGGAGAGGAGAUUGGAAUUUACGGUGUAGCAGUGAAAUGCGUAGAUAUCGUAAGGAAGACCAGUGGCGAAGGCGAAUCUCUGGACAGUUACUGACACUGAGGCACGAAGGCUAGGGGAGCAAACAGGAUUAGAUACCCUGGUAGUCCUAGCAGUAAACGGUGCGCGUUUGGUGUGGGAGGAUUCGACCCCUUCUGUGCCGGAGCUAACGCGUUAAACGCGCCGCCUGGGGAGUACGGUCGCAAGAUUAAA
rnacentral:rRNA from 1 species